rnacentral:rRNA from 1 species
GUGGGGGAUAUUGGACAAUGGGGGGAACCCUGAUCCAGCGACGCCGCGUGAGUGAAGAAGUAUCUCGGUAUGUAAAGCUCUGUCAGCAGGGAAGAAAGAAAUGACGGUACCUGACCAAGAAGCCCCGGCUAACUACGUGCCAGCAGCCGCGGUAAUACGUAGGGGGCAAGCGUUAUCCGGAAUCACUGGGUGUAAAGGGAGCGUAGACGGUUGUGCAAGUCUGGAGUGAAAGGCGGGGGCCCAACCCCCGGACUGCUCUGGAAACUGUGUAACUGGAGUGCAGGAGAGGCAGGCGGAAUUCCUGGUGUAGCGGUGAAAUGCGUAGAUAUCAGGAGGAACACCGGUGGCGAAGGCGGCCUGCUGGACUGUAACUGACGUUGAGGCUCGAAAGCGUGGGGAGCAA